CAUCAACUGGCAAAUUCACUUCAAUAUAGUACAGUUUGGAAAGAGGUUCAGCAAUUUUCUUUACAAACAAUGCAAAAUCCAUUAGAGUUUACUGGGAUGGGUCUGUUCAAUCUUGGCAAUGAAUGCCUUCAAAAGUUUUGCAUGACAAUUGUAACAUUUGUAAUUAUUUUGAUACAAUUACAAAUGCCGUCUGACAUAAGGAUACAAAAUCCGACUGAUAUAUAGCCGUUCUUAGAAGAAAGUAAUUGCAUUGUUAGUUUAAUAUUACAUCGUUAGUUUAAUAUUGAAACAAAGUAUUAAUAUUAUUCCUUGUGAUGGUUCUGUUAUCGUAAAAAGUAACAUAACAUUAAUUAAGUAAAAAUAGAAAAUUGCAAAAGUCGAUACGAAAGUAAUGCUUCCAAUCUUUUUUCUCAGAAAAUUUAAUUCUUACAACUGUGGUUUUUAAACGAUAUAAUCUU